rnacentral:rRNA from 2 species
GGGACGUAACAAAGCGACCCAGGAAUGCUUGGGCGUGCCUCCACCCACGCCGGCGUCGGCGGGCGUAUUUCGCCUCACAGUAGGUCGCCGCGACCCGUUGCUUUUGGGGACGUCGAAGGCCCGGACGGAUUGGUACCCUACCGGCUGGGGAUGCGGCUUCGGCUUCUCCUCUUGUCCGGUGGGCGAAACCGCCGGUGUCCUGGCUGCCCUGCGACGGUCGUAGAGACGAGCCCUCCCCUUCGGGGGGGCGGCUCUCGCGGCGUGCAAAAGGUCGGUGAUCCACCCGACCCGUCUUGAAACACGGACCAAGGAGUCUAACAUGUGUGCGAGUCAGUGGGCGCACUAAACCCAGAGGCGUAAUGAAAGUGACACGGGUUCGGCUGUCGCCUCGUGUGGCAGCCGGACUCAGGGCCGAUCCCUCACCGGUUGCCCUCGCCUCUCUCCCGCGUCUCGGUAAGCCGGGUGAGCUAUUUUCCCCGGCCGCUGCUGCGGGGCUCGGGGGGA